rnacentral:antisense_RNA from 1 species
CGGGCGGUGUACUCCCAGAUGGCCUCCCCGUCGAGCAGCGCCGUGUCGCCGAAGUACGCGCCGUCGGCGAGCACGCCGAGGACCGCGUCGUCGCCGUAGGGGCCGGUGCCGACCUUCUCCACCCUGCCGUGCGCCAGCAGGUACACCUCGUCGGUCCGGCUGCCGAACGAUGCGAUCACGUCACCCGGGGCGUACUCCCGCUGCUGGCAGCGCUGGGCGAGCUCGGAGAGCACACCGGCGCCGUCGUCGAACGUCCGCAGCGCCGGCAGCUCGCGCAACUCCGGGGGGACGACCUCGACACGGUCGCCGGUCUUCAAGAAGGUGAUGCGGCCGUCCCCCAUGGCGUAGGUCAGACGCCGGUUCACCCGGUACGUGCCGCCCUGCACAUUCACCCAUGGCAGGGUGCGCAGCAGCCAGCGGGAGCUGAUCUCCUGCAUCUGGGGUGCGGACUUGGUCGUGGUGGCCAGGUUCCGCGCGGCCGCGGUGCCGAGACUCUGCUG